UGCCCCAGGAGUAGGAUCCCAGGGCUCGGGAGGAGGCUUGGUGUCUGAAGAGCGCGGCGGAGGGUAGCCAACACCCUCCCCAUGCACACGGGCACACCCACACCCAACACCUCCUGCCUUCACGGAGCUCCGGAGUAGUUGAAUUAUUCAUCAAACCAGAACGAUGUUUUCAUUAUACUCAGCCUAUUCCUCUUAUGCAAACAAGAUUUAUGGAAGUUUUUUGUUAAAAAUAUUAACUAUAUUUUAAACAGUCAAAAGGAAAGACCCAAAAUCUUACGGAGGACACUGGAAAUAGACGGAGACAAAUGUACUUACAGUGCCUGAGCUUAAGAGUAAGAGUGGAGACACCAUGUGUUGCAGAAUCCCCAUUGAGAAGGAGAGAAUUUUCCCAGCAGCAAAUUCUGAAAGGGAUUUACUGUGCGGACUAUUAUCUAGUAGACAAAGUUGUCAACAGAUUUUCUGGAAGACGAGCAGCAGCUUUCCUCAUGGGUCCAUUUCUGAGAGUGACUCUAGUACUGACCAAGGACAAAGAAUUGAAACCAGAGGAGUGACGGUCUCUCUCCCACACAGAGGAUCUGGCUGAGGACUUCAAGCCUAGAGGUUGGCAGAAUGACCAGAAGGAGAAAGCCUGGGUUCACAAGUGACUCUCACUCCCCCCUCCCAGCACCACACUGCUCUGUGACAGGGUGGGGUCAUUGUGAUAAGCUGCUGAAAGCAGUUAGCAGAUUCUGACUAUCUACUUGGACUCAGGGAAUUAUAAGCCGUGAGAGGACAGAAUGGUGAUGUGGAAAUUGCCUUUAAAAAUCAAAUUUAGGGACUUCCCUGGUGGCGCAGUGGUUAAGAAUCUGCCUGCCAUUGCAGGGGACACGGGUUCAAGCCCUGGUCCAGGAAGAUCUCACAUGUCACGGAGCAACUAAGCCCGUGCACCACAACUACUGAAGCCCACACGCCUAGAGCCCACGAGCCACAAGUACUGAGCCCAUGUGCCACAACUACUGAAGCCCACGCGCCUAGAGCCCAUGCUCCGCAACAAGAGAAGCCACCGCGAUGAGAAGCCCGCACACCGCAACGAAGAGUAGCCCCACUCGACACAACUAGAGAAAGCACACAUACAACAAGGAAGACCCAAUGCAGCCAAAAAUAAAUAAAUAAAUAUUUAAAAAAUCAAAUUUAAAGACAACAUGGAAAACUGAAAACUGAAACAACCUAAAUAUCCAUCAAAAUUGCAUUGUUUAGAGACUUUCCUGGUGGCGCAGUGGAUAAGACUCCAUGUUCCCAAUGCAGGAGGCCCGGGUUCGAUCCCUGGUCAGGGAACUAGAUCCCACAUGCAUGCUGCAACUAGUUGCAUGCCACAACUAAGGAGACUGCAUGCUACAACUAAGGAGCCCAUGAGCCUCAACUAAGGAGCCUGCCUACCACAACUAAAACCCAGUGCAAGCAAAUAAAAAAAAAUUGGAUUGUUCAUAUAAAAAGCACAUCAAAGUCAUCUUCUCAGUAAGACUGGACAGCCCCUCUAUAAUUUUACCCUCUGGUGCCCUUCCCUGCUUUAUUUAUUUUUUUCCUGGACCUUAUCAUUAUCUAAUAUUCCAUAUAUCUUACUGACUGCCUGUUCUCCCAAUAGGAUGUAAAGUCCAUGAAGGUAAGGAUGUUCUCUGUUUUAUUCACUACUAUACUGUCAGUUCUUAGAACAGUGUCUGCCUUAUACUAGAUGCUCAAUAAAUACUUUUUGAAUGAAACAAAUAA